rnacentral:rRNA from 1 species
UACGGAGGGUGCAAGCGUUGUCCGGAUUCAUUGGGCGUAAAGAGCGUGUAGGCGGCCAGGUAGGUCGGUUGUGAAAACUGGAGGCUCAACCUUCAGAGGUCGACCGAAACCAUCUGGCUAGAGUCCGGGAGAGGAGAGUGGAAUUCCUGGUGUAGCGGUGAAAUGCGCAGAUAUCAGGAAGAACACCCGUGGCGAAGGCGACUACCUGGCCUGUUCUUGACGCUGAGGCGCGAAAGCUAGGGGAGCAAACGGG